CCUACGGGGGGCAGCAGUGGGGAAUAUUGGGCAAUGGACGCAAGUCUGACCCAGCAACGCCGCGUGAAGGAAGAAGGCUUUCGGGUGGUAAACUUCUUUUAAGGGGGAAGAGCAGAAGACGGUACCCCUUGAAUAAGCCACGGCUAACUACGUGCCAGCAGCCGCGGUAAGACGGAGGGGGCAAGCGUUAGCCGGAUUUACUGGGUGUAAAGGGAGCGUAGACGGCGCGGCAAGUCCGGAGUGAAAGCCCAUGGCUUAACCAUGGUACUGCUCUGGAAACUGUGGAGCGUGAGUGCGGGAGGGGCAGGCGGAAUUCCUAGUGUAGCGGUGAAAUGCGUAGAUAUUAGGAGGAACACCGGCGGCGAAGGCGGCCUGCUGGACCGUAACUGACGUUGAGGCUCGAAAGCGUGGGGAGCAAACAGGAUUAGAUACCCGGGUAGUC
rnacentral:rRNA from 1 species